GAUGAAGAACGCAGCGAAAUGCGAUAAGUAAUGUGAAUUGCAGAAUUCAGUGAAUCAUCGAAUCUUUGAACGCACCUUGCGCCCUUUGGCCAUUCCGAAGGGCAUGCCUGUUUGAGUAUCAUGAACACCUCAACUCUUCAUGGUUUUCCAUGAUGAGCUUGGACUUUGGGGGUCUUGCUGGCCUGUGGGUCGGCUCCUCUCAAAUGAAUCAGCUUGCCGGUUUUUGGUGGGCAUCACAGGUGUGAUAACUAUCUACGCUUGUGGUUUUCCACCAGGGUAACCUUCAGCAGUGGAGGUUCACUGGAGCUUACAAAUGUCUCUCCUCUGUGAGGACAGCCCUUUGAAUGUUUGAUCUCAAAUCAGGUAGGACUACCCGCUGAACUUAAGCAUAUAAUAAGCGGAGGA
rnacentral:misc_RNA from 1 species